GAUGAAGAACGCAGCGAAACGCGAUAUGUUAUGUGAAUUGCAGAAUUCAGUGAAUCAUCGAAUCUUUGAACGCACAUGGCGCCUUCCAGUAUCCUGGGAGGCAUGCCUGUCCGAGCGUCGUUUCAACCCUCGAGCCCCCGUGGCCCGGCGUUGGGGAUCUGCCCAGGCAGUCCCCGAAAACCAGUGGCGGACCCGUUACAGGCCCUUCCCUUGCGUAGUAGCAUUCGCCUCGCAUCGGGAGCCGGCGGGCUUCCAGCCUCUAAACCCCCAUCAAGUCCGCCCCGGCGGCACCAAGGUUGACCUCGGAUCAGGUAGGAAUACCCGCUGAACUUAAGCAUAUCAAUAAGCGGAGGA
rnacentral:misc_RNA from 1 species